UAUCAUAUUUAUAAAAUUAGUAUUAAUUGAAAAAGAGUUAUUUUAUUGAUUGGUUAAAUAUUGUAAAAUAAUUUUAAAUUUUUUAUAAAUUUAUUAGUUGUAAUUUUUCUUAUUAUUUUAUAUUUUAUAAAUUUAUUAUAUUAAGAUAUUAAUAUUAAUAUUAAUUUCUUUUACAAUGUCGACAAUUCUUACUGGACCAAUGUUGAUAGCUAUAAGUUGUCACUAUUGGAAAUAUCAAUGUCGAUUGUUAAAUACUGUAAAAAAAACAAAAAAUAAUUUACAAUACUAAAUAAUUAUUGAUUAAAAAUGAGUUUUUUUUAUAUAAAAAUGAAUCAUUCAAAUAAUUGUGUAACUUUUUAAUAUUAAUUGUAAAAUAAAUUAGUUAUUAUAUAUUUAUUGAAAGAAUAUUUUUUUUAUGAAUACUCAUUAAUAAUACUUAUUAAGAUAUUAAAGUAUUGAUUUUAUAUUUUCUUUUUAAACUAGUAUAAAAACUAUUUUAUAAAUUAAAAACAGAAAAAUUAAGGAUUAAAAAAAAGUUUGCCCAAAUUAAAAAGGGCCUAAGCCCAUCAUUUUGGGAUAACCCUAUUUUUUACUCUCAAACCCUCACCUCACGGCUCCUCUUUCUCUCAACCGCCUCUCUCUCUCUCUCUCUAUCAACAACAACUGAGAGGCUUGGGGUCUCCGCUUUAUCUUCCACUCAGCAACAGCAGGGAGCUUGGUUGUGAUUCACGAAAAUGUUGGGGCUGGGAUUCAUGAUGGGUUGUGAUUCACGACAGGGAGCUCGACUUCACAACGGUCUCGAACUGGGUUUCAUGGCAGAGGCGUUGAGGCGGGCUGGAACUUGGGUUCAAGGUAGGCGGAGCUUCCGUGGGUCCCGAAAAGGAUGACGGUACUCGACAGAGGUGUCGUCGGUGGGGCUCAACGAUGGGGUGGUGGCAUGGGGUUCGAAGGUGAGAAUGGUGGUCGUGGGGUUCUUUUUUAAAAUUCUUACUUUAUUUCUUUCUUUAUUUGUUUGCACAUAAUAUGUUCGUUAAAAUUCCUUUGAGAAACUUGUAUAACUAAAUACCAAUUUUUUUUUGCUAAAACAUAGUCCUGAGUACUGUAUGUUGUGAUAGUUACGUUUGUUAUCUUGUUCUUCAAAUGCUACUGCAAUUUUGUUAACGAAAAAGUUCAGGGAGAAUGUUUGGCUAUUACUUGUUGUCUAUAUUGCUCUGAGUUGGAGGAUAUUAUAUAAUUUUUUUGGGUUCCUCUGG